rnacentral:rRNA from 1 species
AUUGAACGCUGGCGGCAGGCCUAACACAUGCAAGUCGAGCGGAGCGGCGGACGGGUGAGUAAUGCCUAGGAAUCUGCCUGGUAGUGGGGGAUAACGUCCGGCAACGGGCGCUAAUACCGCAUACUAUCAGAUGAGCCUAGUUCGGAUUAGCUAGUUGGGGGGGUAAUGGCCUACCAAGGCGACGAUCCGUAACGGGUCUGAGAGGAGGAUCAGUCACACUGGAACGGAGACAGGGUCCAGACUCUAACGGGAGGAGGCAGUGGGGAAUAUUGGACAAUGGGCGAAGGCCGGAUCCAGCCAUGCCGCGUGUGUGAAGAAGGUCUUCGGAUUGUAAAGCACUUUAAGUUGGGAGGCGUUACCAACAGAAUAAGCACCGGCUAACUUCGUGCCAGCAGCCGCGGUAAUUC